UCCCCUCCCCCCACGGCUGGGAUCCAAGCCCCCAGCCCCCAGAGCUUCCCUUCCAUUCCGGGUAGAGGCCAUCAGCUGAUUCUGUUAGGUGAUUACAUGGUUGUCAGCCUUCAGUUGAUCAAGUCUUCAGAUCAUGUUGAGAGGAAGUAGAAAGAGCUGCGCUUUGGGAUAAGGGAGGUCCAGGACUAAGCUCUAGUUUUGCCUCUAAUUCCCUGGGAAACACUUUUUCUCCUCCUCUAGGUGAGGCUUCAUCUAAAUUCUCAUGAGAGUGGGUUGGAGAUUGAGAGGUGAAGGCCAAACUCCAACCUGAGUUCUUAGGCCUCCCCUGGACAUUCUGAGAUUCUGUGUGAAUUGGAGAGCGGUAGGGUGUGGACAAGAGAAUAGUAUGCCUUGAAAAGUUUGGAGCCCGGUAGUUUCUCAUAUUAUUACAUGGAGUGCCUCAACUUACGUUGAACUUGAAAGCUUUUUUUUCUUUUGAUAUUUAAGAUGCAAUAAGUGUAUGGGGGCGCAUUUGUGCCCCUUUUCAUGACUUUUUAAAGAAGCCUCUUGAGAUUCCCCUGAAGGUUUUCAAGUUGGGGAUCUUCAGAGUAGCGGAGUUUGUAGGUUCUUCUGGAAAGUGAAGGUUACUCGUGGCAGGUAGGAAAAGGAAAGACAAAAAAGAAAAGUUCUGAAUAAACUCCCAUCAUAUUCUGAAGGGAAAGAUGAAGAUACUGAAGCAAAAUGCCAUUAAGGAGAUACAGCAGAGGUCAGCUGCGGGGAGAAUGCAGCACAAAAGAAGGGGUGGCUCUUCUCUCCAGGUUCCCACCUUCCGCAAAGGAUGUUCUCUGUAAUGGAUGUUUGCUACUUACUUCUGUGGAAAGGUUCAUGUAGAGAGAGAUAUUCCUAAGGAUAGCGGGGAGAAAGAGGACAAAGACGGCUUUUUUCUUCUUAUUAUUAUUACUUUUUAAAUAAAGGCCUUUGAGUGCCUCUUCUGAAACUAUUUAGAUUCCCACUUGCCUAGGUAAUCCCAGUUUAUGGCUGGAGUAACUUCCUUGAGAUAUUACAUUCGUUGUCAUGUACAAUAGCAUGUGUCUGUUAUGCCCUUGAACUACCUUGAAGAAAAGCUUCCUUAGUCUUUGCCUAGAUAAACAAGCUUGCCCACUGGCCCCUUUAUGGGCUGAGGGUGAGCGGUGACACCGCUCAAGUUUACUCCAGGUGCUUUGUUCACCUCCCUCAUGUGGUUUUGUAAGAAGCCAUAUACUUGAGGGUUAUUGAAUUUGUUUAAAUGUCUUGAACUCCUGUGGAAUCUGGUUAGUCACUGUGGAUGGUGGUUUUUGGUGUUGUCAUUUUAGCUUUUCAAAGUCCCCAUCUAGGACUUCUUUAUGCCAAAUAUAACAAGUAUAUUAGGUAUGCUCCUUUAUAUAAUCACUGAAUCUCCCCAUGGAAAGAUAAAUAUAUGCAAGGAAAUAUUGUCAAGAAUUUGGGGUGUCAUAUUGAGGCACUGGCAGAUGGAGAAGGUUCUAAGGGCAAUUCUAGAGAGAUCUCUGAUUCUUCUGAUCAAAAGAGUUCAUUUUCAAGGUGUUUAAAUGGGUCUCUUUAACUUUCUUAUAUGGCCAAUGGAAUCAGAUUGAUUCGCAUUGCAAAUACUCAACCAGGUCAUUCCUACCGAUGAUAACGUGGCAAAAUGGUUUUUUUUUUUAAUUAUUAUUAUUAUUAGUUACUAAAGCUAUUACAGUUUUUGUGGAAGAAUUAAACAAUGUCCUCCUCGUCUCCCUACUACACAUUUUGGAGAUUUCUACCUAUAAAUAUGUAUGUUUAAACUCCAGGUCAGAUUCCUAUUUUCAUUUUGGCUAAAGCCAGAGAUUAUUCAAGAUGGGGCCGAGGCUUUUCUCUCAAAACCAAUUCCCAGAAAAGGGAACCUUUGACUCAUAGGCAUUCUCCCCAACCUGCAAAUGACUCAUCGGAUGCCUUUGGACGGAGUCCAGAGAACCUGUCUCCAUUCCUCCACCUGGGCAGUGGUGCUCACACCCACCUUAUGCAGAGACCUGGGUGAUGAUUCAUUGACUGGUUUUGGUAUAGUUCUGUCACUUCUGAAUGUGAACAGGAUUAUCUGUGUGUAUAAGUAGUCUUCCUUGUAAAAGAUGGCAUUCCUCGAAGUGCUUUUAGGUGAAAAGCUUGGCUAGAAGUUUCCUGAAAUUGAACCUUGUUCUCUUUGUCAGUGGAGCCUACUUGACAUCUUAGGGUUAAGAUACAAGGAUGUGUCAAGGCAUUGUUCUCCUGCUCUAAAUAGUGCCAGCUGUAUAAAGAAUAUUCCAAAAGUGCCUAAAGAGAUAUAGUGUGCUCAAAACCAUGUAGGAAAUGAGACACAGGGUGUGUGUUUUAUCUAGGUGGUUCUUGCAAAGCAGUUUAUGAAAAUGUACCUGAGGCCUUCCUGGGGAAACAAACGUUGCACUGUGCAUUGUGGUUUUGCAAUGGCAAUUCCAUCCAAGUACUUGGUAUUUAUUGUCAUUGAUGACUCCUGCAGCUGAAAGUUGGAAUAUACAAAAGAGAGUGGCAGAUGCGGAUGGAGUAGAUUUUUUUUCUGGGCUACACUGUACAUCUUGUCUUAUUUUAACCCAGUUUUCAAACUUUUAGCAAGCUAGUGUCUAGUCUUGUGCUUAGUUAACUGCUGCUUCUUGCUUGGCUUUAAUAGCUAGGGCUUUCCAAAGACUGGGAUUCCCCAGGAGGCUGCAUGGUAGGAGGUGUCUAAGCAGAGAAAUAAGUAAGCGUUUUGUAAGAAUGUUGUAGGCAAAAUACAAGCACCAGACAAAUGGGAGGUUAGACUAGACUCUCUUAAGUCACAUCCAACUGUGGGAUUCUGUAAUUUGUUUAUAAGCUCCUCUAACCUGCUCAACUUGCUUUGCAUGAAUCCACAUGUGUGUAGGAGUGCUUAAUGAGUAUUGGUUGUCAGUGAGGUUGCCCAGUACUCUCACCAUGAUGUCAGGCUCGAUCAAAGAGACAAAAUCACUAAUUUGGACAGACUUUGAAGCUUAGACAGAGAGAAAGGCACCCUUUACACUUCCCCAUAGUAUGGAGUAUGCCUGCUGAACCGAGGGUGUUCAAGGAGUCAUUGGUAUUCAAAUCUGUUCAAGAGUUUGAUCUGACUCCUGGAAUGAAAGAUGUCAAAACAAAAAUCCAGGCUUGAGAUCAGAAGUUCUUAAUCCUUUACCCUGGUUUUGUACUAACUAGUCAUAUGUUUAAUGGUGAGCCACUUGGUCUCUCUGGGCUAUAGUCUCCCCAUUUAUAAAAUAGGGCAGUGUAGGGGGGAUGGUGAGCUGAAUCCAUUGUUUAUUCCUCUCUUCAACAAAUGUGAGCUGUCUUGCUCCUGGGAAUGCAACUAAGAUGAUAUAUAAGGUGCUAAAGUUGAUUUCUUCCAGUGCCAACACUCUUUGUAACUAACUGUUGUGAUUGAGGG